rnacentral:rRNA from 1 species
AGGAAGGUGGGUAUGUUAAUAGCAUAUUCAUUUGACGUUAGCUGCAGAAGAAGCACCGGCUAACUCCGUGCCAGCAGCCGCGGUAAUACGGAGGGUGCGAGCGUUAAGUCGGAAUUACUGGGCGUAAAGCGCAUGCAGGUGGUUUGUUAAGUCAGAUGUGAAAGCCCGGGGCUCAACCUCGGAAUUGCAUUUGAAACUGGCAAACUAGAGUACUGUAGAGGGGGUAGGAAUUUCAGGUGUAGCGGUGAAAUGCGUAGAGAUCUGAAGGAAUACCGGUGGCGAAGGCGGCCCCCUGGACAGAUACUGACACUCAGAUGCGAAAGCGUGGGGAGCAAACAGGAUUAGAUACCCUGGUAG